rnacentral:rRNA from 1 species
UAGUAACGGCGAGUGAAGCGGCAACAGCUCAAAUUUGAAAUCUGGCUCUUUUAGAGUCCGAGUUGUAAUUUGCAGAGGGCGCUUUGGCUUUGGCAGCGGUCCAAGUUCCUUGGAACAGGACGUCACAGAGGGUGAGAAUCCCGUACGUGGUCGCUAGCUAUUGCCGUGUAAAGCCCCUUCGACGAGUCGAGUUGUUUGGGAAUGCAGCUCUAAAUGGGAGGUAAAUUUCUUCUAAAGCUAAAUAUUGGCCAGAGACCGAUAGCGCACAAGUAGAGUGAUCGAAAGAUGAAAAGCACUUUGGAAAGAGAGUCAAACAGCACGUGAAAUUGUUGAAAGGGAAGCGCUUGCAGCCAGACUUGCUUGCAGUUGCUCAUCCGGGCUUUUGCCCGGUGCACUCUUCUGCAGGCAGGCCAGCAUCAGUUUGGGCGGUGGGAUAAAGGUCUCUGUCACGUUCCUUCCUUCGGGUUGGCCAUAUAGGGGAGACGUCAUACCACCAGCCUGGACUGAGGUCCGCGCAUCUGCUAGGAUGCUG